UGUUAAAAGGUGGGGAGUCUCCAAGCAGACAGGCUCCGUCAUGCUAAAGGUGGGAGAACUGGAUUUCCUGGCUUCCACCACAGUUCCAAGGGUUUCACGUGCUGGGCACAGCAACCUCCCGGUAACCGACCAGCUCUUCGAGGAUCCCCUGUUUCCCUGCAGCGCUGGAUGCGGCGGAGACACGUCAGUUAAUAAGCCAAACGCCACCACAACCCUCACUCUUGCCAUCACCACGAUCAAAAACUCUCAAGGGACUCUGUCUCUCGCCCAGUGGUCCUUAAACGGUGGUCCCAGGCCAGGAGCGUCGGCCCACCCAGGAACUUAUUGGAAACACAGGCUCUCUGGCGCUACCCCGGACCCACGGCGUCAGAAACACUGGGAACGGCAGCCAGAACUCUGUUUCGAACAAGCUCUCUGGGGAUUCUGAUGUGUGCACGAGGGUGAGAAUUUAUCCAGCCACCGCGGGAGGCAGGACAGGUUAUAACAGACCAUGGAGGAGGCCGCCCCGGGCUCUACACCAGGUCCGUGUUAAUCUACCGUUAGUU